rnacentral:rRNA from 1 species
UACGGAAGGGGCGAGCGUUGUUCGGAAUCAUUGGGCGUAAAGCGUGUGUAGGUGGAUCGUUAAGUACCUUGUGAAAUCCCACGGCUUAACCGUGGAACUGCUUGGUAUACUGGCGGUCUUGAGCCAGCUAGGGGCUACCGGAACAAAUGGUGGAGCGGUGAAAUGCGUAGAUAUCGGGAAGAACACCCGUGGCGAAGGCGGUUCUCUGGGACGGUACUGACGCUGAGACGCGAAAGCGUGGGGAGCGAACAGG